GAUGAAGAACGUAGCGAAGUGCGAUAAGUAAUGUGAAUUGCAGAAUUCAGUGAAUCAUCGAAUCUUUGAACGCACAUUGCGCCCGCUAGUAUUCUGGCGGGCAUGCCUGUUCGAGCGUCAUUUCAACCAUCAAGCCCCAGGCUUGUGUUGGGGGCCUGCGGCUGCCGCAGCCCCUGAAAAGCAGUGGCGGGCUCGCUGUCAUUCCGAGCGCAGUAGUUACAUCUCGCUCCGGGCGUGGCGGUGGGCACCUGCCGUGAAACACUCCUUCUAAGGUUGACCUCGGAUCAGGUAGGAAUACCCGCUGAACUUAAGCAUAUCAAUAAGCGGAGGA
rnacentral:misc_RNA from 1 species